AUUGAACGCUGGCGGCAUGCCUUACACAUGCAAGUCGAACGGCAGCACGGGAGCAAUCCUGGUGGCGAGUGGCGAACGGGUGAGUAAUAUAUCGGAACGUGCCCAGUAGUGGGGGAUAGCCCGGCGAAAGCCGGAUUAAUACCGCAUACGACCUGAGGGUGAAAGCGGGGGAUCGCAAGACCUCGCGCUAUUGGAGCGGCCGAUAUCAGAUUAGCUAGUUGGUGGGGUAAAGGCCUACCAAGGCGACGAUCUGUAGCUGGUCUGAGAGGACGACCAGCCACACUGGGACUGAGACACGGCCCAGACUCCUACGGGAGGCAGCAGUGGGGAAUUUUGGACAAUGGGCGCAAGCCUGAUCCAGCCAUGCCGCGUGUGGGAAGAAGGCCUUCGGGUUGUAAACCACUUUUGUCAGGGAAGAAACGGUCCUUACUAAUAUUAGGGACUAAUGACGGUACCUGAAGAAUAAGCACCGGCUAACUACGUG
rnacentral:rRNA from 1 species